rnacentral:rRNA from 1 species
CCUACGGGAGACAGCAGUGAGGAAUAUUGGUCAAUGGGCACAAGCCUGAACCAGCCAAGUCGCGUGAAGGAUGACGGCUCUAUGGGUCGUAAACUUCUUUUAUAAGGGAAUAAAGUGCGGUACGUGUACUGUUUUGUAUGUACCUUAUGAAUAAGGAUCGGCUAACUCCGUGCCAGCAGCCGCGGUAAUACGGAGGAUCCGAGCGUUAUCCGGAUUUAUUGGGUUUAAAGGGUGCGUAGGCGGCCUUUUAAGUCAGCGGUGAAAGUCUGUGGCUCAACCAUAGAAUUGCCGUUGAAACUGGCAGGCUUGAGUAUGUUUGAGGUAGGCGGAAUGCGUGGUGUAGCGGUGAAAUGCUUAGAUAUCACGAAGAACCCCGAUUGCGAAGGCAGCCUGCCAAGCCAUGACUGACGCUGAUGCACGAAAGCGUGGGGAUCAAACAGGAUUAGAUACCCCGGUAGUC